CACCCUGUUAAAUGUAGACGUAAAGCUCAGUUAGAAGUAGAACUUGACUGUUUUCUUAAGGAGGAAAUCAGUUUUUCUUUUUGUCACCCAAUGAGAAAACAUCAGUUACUGAGAUAGACUGACUUAGAGGCAAGGGUACACAUUGGACUGAUCGUAAGACAUGAUUUUCAAUAGAUCACCGAAGUCAUGCAUCACUGGCAGUGGUUUGCAAACGAGUGGGUCACUAAUUUGAUUGACCAAAUUGGUCAACCGAGGAAGCACGUUAUCGAACCUUCUUUAAACUGUUCUACUGUAAGAGCUUGGAUUCACGCUCAGGACGUUGGGCUACCAAAGCAGAGGAUCAAAAAUGCGAUGGUAUGUCAUCGGAUUCUCCUCAGGAUUGUUUCCCAGACCGACGCCAAUAGCCCAUUGUGCAGCUCUAGUGAGACGUAAAUAAAGUACCUACCUACCUAAACUUUCUGGCGUUCUUAAAAACAGUUGAAAUGUUCAACAGACUGCUGAUGAAAAGAUUAAUCUAGAAGUUAAAAAGAUUAUAUUUUAUUUAUUCACAUAUUUAUGCCGGCGUGUGAACUAAAUUCAAACAAACGCUUAUAAACCAUUUUAAUUGGAAAAAAGCUCAAAAAUACAUCCAGGGUUACAGUGGAAUUGGAAAUCGCUACUUCUUAAUUUCAGCACAUUUGAUGGAAAUAUAUAUCCCUUGGUAAUAGAGGCCCCAAGAGUUUCAAAAUUUGCUGCUUGUGUUAGUGAUUUGAAAAUACGUAUUGUUUGGGCAACUUUUUUUAAGUCGGAUAUUUUUUUCAAGUUCAAGAUGCUCUUUAUUCAAAUCGUUUUUAUGACUACUAACUAAUUGAUAUUAGGCUGUUAACCUAGCUAUUGGAUAUGACUGUUUGAUCGAACAAUUUAAAAAUAAAAAUUUUAUUUCUUUUUAAGCUGAUAUCCAUAACGAGUAUUAAUUUUUUGGGCUGGACUAAACAAUUAGAGGUCUCUCUUAGUAAGCCUAUUAAGCGAUGCAUUGAAAUUUCAUACUUAUGAUCCAAAUGUGUUUCAUAUCACUGGAAAAUAAGGCCAUCUGCAACAGCUCCAGAGCAAGAUUAAAUGGAUAUCAGUCUACGACAGUUGGACAACAUCCUAAGUCCAUCAAAGAUUUCUUUUGUGAUGCUGUUAUCUGAAUAUGAACUUGCUCCAGUUUCCACUCAUGCCUGGAAUCGAUAGCUUUUAGCAUAUCCUAGCGGAGGUUUGACUUCUUCGGAUUAACCACGACCCUGGAAAUUUUUCGUGGUGGGCUAUUUCUGCGCGUCAGACUCAGUUUAUAGUACCGUUUGUUUAGCAAAUCUUGAAUAAUACUUCGGAUUUUAUUUAAUCAUAUUAAUUUGUAUUGAUUUAAACUCUAUUCUAAGCUCUAAUAAAUGCAUU